GCCUUCGUGGUGUAAUGGUCAGCACACUGGGCCGGUAUUUCAGAGGUCCGCUGUUCAAUUCCCGGCGAAGCCG
rfam:Stegodyphus mimosarum contig102949, whole genome shotgun sequence.